rnacentral:rRNA from 1 species
UACGCGGAUGCCUACGGGAGGCUGCAGUCGAGAAUCAUUCACAAUGGGGGAAACCCUGAUGGUGCGACGCCGCGUGGGGGAAUGAAGGUCUUCGGAUUGUAAACCCCUGUCAUGUGGGAGCAAAUUAAAAAGAUAGUACCACAAGAGGAAGAGACGGCUAACUCUGUGCCAGCAGCCGCGGUAAUACAGAGGUCUCAAGCGUUGUUCGGAAUCACUGGGCGUAAAGCGUGCGUAGGCUGUUUCGUAAGUCGUGUGUGAAAGGCGCGGGCUCAACCCGCGGACGGCACAUGAUACUGCGAGACUAGAGUAAUGGAGGGGGAACCGGAAUUCUCGGUGUAGCAGUGAAAUGCGUAGAUAUCGAGAGGAACACUCGUGGCGAAGGCGGGUUCCUGGACAUUAACUGACGCUGAGGCACGAAGGCCAGGGGAGCGAAAGGGAUUAGAUACCCCUGUAGUCCUGGCAGUAAACGGUGCACGCUUGGUGUGCGGGGAAUCGACCCCCUGCGUGCCGGAGCUAACGCGUUAAGCGUGCCGCCUGGGGAGUACGGUCGCAAGAUUAAAACUUAAAGGAAUUGACGGGG